rnacentral:lncRNA from 1 species
UACAGUCAAUAUCAUCCCGUUACACUUCAUUCCUUUCUAUUAUUUUUGAUUCCAUUCACUUGCAAUCCAUUUGAUUACAUUCCAUUCUAUUCCUUUACAUUCCUCUCUACUCCAGUCGAGUUCAUUCCAUUCCAUUCCAUUCUGUUCGACUCCAAUCCAUUUGAUUCAAUUUAGUUCGACUCCAUUCCUUUCGAGUCCAUUCCUUUUGAGUCCUCUCCAUUCCAUUCCAUUCCUUUUAAUGCCACUCUAUUCGACUCCAUUUCAUGAAACUCCAUUCCAUUCCAUUCUGUCCAAUCGGAUUCCAUAACAUUCUAUUCCUUUCCGUACCAUUCCGGUCCAUUCUUUUCAUUCCAUUCGAUUCCAUUCCACUCCAGUCCAUUCCAUUGGAGACCAUUCCAUUCCAAUCCAUUUCUUUCCACUCCAUUCCUUUCCAUUCAAUUCCUUUCCAUUCCAUUUCAUUCCAAUCGAUAUCUUUCCAUUACUCUCAAUUCCAUUCUCUUCCUUUCUAUUCCAUUCAAUUGCAUUCCAUUUGAAUCCUUUCCAUUUGAUACGUUUGCAUUUGACUCCAUUCCAUUCGUGUCCAUUCCAUCCCAUUCCUGUCCAUUUGAUUCCUUUUUGUUCCAAUCCAUUCCUUUCGAUUCAAUUCCUUUCGCGUCAAUUCCUUUCGAGUCAAUUCCAUACAACUCCAUUCAAUUCGAUUUCGUUCCCUUUGAUUCCAUUCCACUCGAUUCCACUCUGCUCCUUUCCAAUGCAUUCCAUUCUACUCCAUUAUAUUGAAUUCCGUUCCAUUCCAUUUGAUUACAUUCCAUUCGAUUCCAUUCCAUUCGAUUCCAUUCAAUACUAUUGUAUUCCAUUUGAUUCCAUUCUAUUCAAAUAAAUUCCGCUCGAGGCCAUUCCUUUCGAGACUAUUAUAUUUCAGUCGAUUCCAUUCGAGUCCAUUACAUUUGAGUCCAUUCCACUCCAUUCGGUUCCGUUCCAUUCCGUUCCACUCCAUUUCAUUCGAUGCCAUUCGAUUCCAAUAUCUUCCAUUGCUUUCCAUUCCAUUCAAGUCCCUUCCAUUCAAUACCAUUCCCAUUGAUUCUAUUUUAUUUGAAUCCAUUCUAUUCCAAUCCAUUCCAUUCCAUUCCAUUCCAUUUGGUUCCGUUCCUUUCAAUUCCAUUUCAUUCCAUUCCAUUUCAUUGCAUUCCAUUCGUUUCCAUUCCAUUUGUGUACAUUCCUCUACAGUCCGUUCUGAUCGAGUCCAUUCCAUUCCAGUGCAUUCCAUUCGAGUUCAUUCCAUUCCCUUCCAUUCGAUAUCGUUCAAUUACACUCUAUUCCUUUCUAUUCCUUUUGAUUCCAUUCAAUUCCAUUCCAUUGGAUUCCAUUCCUUUCAGGUCCAUUACAUUCGAAUACAUUCCAUUCGAGUCCAUUCCACUCCAUUCCUUUCCAUUCC